CCCGUCACACCAUGGGAGUCAGUUGCUCCAGAAGUGGCUGUGCCAACCUGCAAAGGAGGCAGGCCCCCAAGGAGUGCCUGGUGACUGGGGUG
rnacentral:rRNA from 1 species